AGAGACGCUAUCAUCGUGACCGUCAUUGGCGAGUUGACAAGUGUGUUUGCUGGCUUUGUUGUCUUUGCAACUGUUGGAUUUCUGGCUCAUAGUUUACAACAACCUGUAGCUGAUGUAGUCACUUCAGGUCCUGGCAUAGGAUUCAUCGUUUACCCAGAAGCAGUUGCAUUACUGCCGCUCCCUCAACUGUGGUCUGUCUUCUUCUUUACAACAGUGCUGAUGAUGGUGGUUGACUCGAUGUUAGGGCAUGUU